GCAGGUUCGAAUCCUGCACGACCCACCAAUUUAACAUCAAACUCAGAUGUUGAACGUGAAGGAUAACGUUGCGUCAGCAACGGCCCGUAGGGCGAGGCGAAGCCGAGUCAUCCUGCACGACCCACCA
rnacentral:sRNA from 5 species